AGAGUUUGAUCAUGGCUCAGGAUGAACGCUGGCGGUAUGCGUAACACAUGCAAGUCGAACGAAGUUUUUCGGAACUUAGUGGCGGACGGGUGAGUAACGCGUGAGAAUCUGCCUUAAGGAUUGGGACAACAGUGGGAAACCGCUGCUAAUACCAAAUAUGCCUUUUAGUGAAACGGGUAAAACCGCCUUAAGAUGAGCUCGCGUCUGAUUAGCUAGUUGGUGUGGUAAGAGCGCACCAAGGCAACGAUCAGUAGCUGGUCUGAGAGGACGACCAGCCACACUGGGACUGAGACACGGCCCAGACUCCUACGGGAGGCAGCAGUGAGGAAUUUUCCGCAAUGGGCGAAAGCCUGACGGAGCAAUACCGCGUGAGGGAGGAAGGUUCUUGGAUUGUAAACCUCUUUUCUCAGAGAAGAAUAAUGACGGUAUCUGAGGAAUAAGCAUCGGCUAACUCCGUGCCAGCAGCCGCGGUAAUACGGAGGAUGCAAGCGUUAUCCGGAAUGAUUGGGCGUAAAGGGUCUGUAGGUGGUUGUUCAAGUCUGCUGUUAAAGCGUCUGGCUUAACCAGAUAAAGGCGGUGGAAACUGAACGACUAGAGUGCGGUAGGGGUAGAGGGAAUUCCCAGUGUAGCGGUGAAAUGCGUAGAUAUUGGGAAGAACACCUGUGGCGAAAGCGCUCUACUGGACCGCGACUGACACUGAUGGACGAAAGCUAGGGGAGCAAAUGGGAUUAGAUACCCCCGUAGUCC
rnacentral:rRNA from 1 species